rnacentral:rRNA from 1 species
GGGUCAGUAGGUUGGUCGUGCCACCGGUACGUACUGGUCUCACUGAUUCCUCCUUCCUGAAGAACCGUAAUGCCAUUAAUUUGGUGUUGCGGGGAAACAGGACUGUUACUUUGAAAAAAUUAGAGUGUUUAAAGCAAGCUAACGCUUGAAUACAUUAGCAUGGAAUAAUGAAAUAGGACGAUCGAUCCUAUUUUGUUGGGUUCUAGGAUUGACGUA